rnacentral:rRNA from 1 species
UACGGAGGAUGCGAGCGUUAUCCGGAUUCAUUGGGUUUAAAGGGUGCGUAGGCGGCUUAUUAAGUCAGUGGUGAAAUCCUGCGGCUCAACCGUAGAACUGCCAUUGAUACUGAUAAGCUUGAAUUUAGUUGAGGUAGGCGGAAUGAGUAGUGUAGCGGUGAAAUGCUUAGAUAUUACUCAGAACACCAAUUGCGAAGGCAGCUUACUAAGCUAAUAUUGACGCUGAUGCACGAAAGCGUGGGGAGCGAACAGG